UACGUAGGGCACAAGCGUUGUCCGGAAUUAUUGGGCGUAAAGAGCUCGUAGGUGGCUUGUCACGUCGGGUGUGAAAGCUUGGGGCUUAACUCCAGGUCUGCAUUCGAUACGGGCUGGCUAGAGGUAGGUAGGGGAGAACGGAAUUCCUGGUGUAGCGGUGAAAUGCGCAGAUAUCAGGAGGAACACCGGUGGCGAAGGCGGGUCUCUGGGCCGAUACUGACGCUGAGGAGCGAAAGCGUGGGGAGCAAACAGG
rnacentral:rRNA from 1 species